GGCCCAGACUCCUACGGGAGGCAGCAGUGGGGAAUAUUGCACAAUGGGGGAAACCCUGAUGCAGCAACGCCGCGUGGGUGAAGGAGCGUUUCGGCGCGUAAAGCCCUGUCAGCGGGGAAGAAGAAAGACGGUACCCGACCAAGAAGCCCCGGCUAACUACGUGCCAGCAGCCGCGGUAAUACGGAGGAUGCGAGCGUUAUCCGGAUUUAUUGGGUUUAAAGGGUGCGUAGGCGGAAAGCCAAGUCAGCGGUAAAAUCGGGGGGCAAAACCCGGCUCCGCCGUUGAAACUGGCGUUCUUGAGUGGGCGAGAAGUAUGCGGAAUGCGUGGUGUAGCGGUGAAAUGCAUAGAUAUCACGCGGAACUCCGGUUGCGAAGGCAGCAUACCGGCGCCCAACUGACGCUGAAGCACGAAAGCGUGGGUAUCGAACAGGAUUAGAUACCCUCGUAC
rnacentral:rRNA from 1 species